ACAGGCUUCACUGUUACCCGUACAACAUAACUGCAGGACAGGUAGAACAGGUGACGAGGUGUCAGGUUUCAGUGUCGACUGUUGGCUCCUUUCAGUCGAUCGAGAAAGACGUUUUACUUUGUAAGCACGUUUGGAUUUAAGAUACUCAACAGACUGACGUCAUGGCAGUCAAAUAUGACGGAUUGUCCCACUGUAAGCUGGCCCUGGUGUUUGCUGUGUUGAUGGACCUGUUGGGUGUCAUAUCCCUGCUGCUGGGGGUCUUCGCUCCAUUAGAGAUCCAGGGCAGGGACUUUGGGGAUCUGCUGGUGUACUCGGGAGCCUUGCUUGUGUUAUUCUCCCUGGCAGGCUGGGUCAUGUGGUACAGUGGCAAUAUUGAGGGUCUGACCUCCAAGAAGGAGUUGGGGGGCGCCAUGGGUGGAGCUGUGGAUCGACUCGCCCGCUCCCUGAGCCGAAGGAUACGACUCCCAAGGACUCGCAGCAACCCAACAUAGGAGGUGGAUCCCAACGACUAACUGACUGACUAACAGACUGUUGUUACACCAAGGGUUCUGCUUAAACCAGGUGGCGGGCCAAACUGCCUGAGGCAAAGGAGUGUCUGUGCUGGCUGUCAUUCUCUUUACAAUAACCUCAUUCAUACGAAGAAAAACUGACAGGGUUAUUUUAUAAGUGUGCCUCUCUGCUUUACAGGUUGUAUGUGGACUACACUCAGGAUUGUAAUGUAAAAGGAUCUGCUAGAUAUCUGAAGAUUAAAAUUGAUUUUGUGCUUUUAUUUUGUCAUUUUAAGUUAGACGAGUUAACUGUUACAGAAAUAUCACUUAGAAUAAAAGUUACCACAUUAAUCACUGAAGACAUUUUUAUUGACGAUAAUCAUGAUUGCACAAUGUUAAGUCAGAACGAAUACUCAAGUUUUAAAUGCCUUUCCAAGAAGAAUAAGUACUGUCGCUGCUACAGUAUGACGUCAACCUGUGUGCUUAAACAUGUAAUUUCACAUAAAUACUGCAUAGGACACGCUCCCUCCCUUAUUUUUAAGGUACUGAAAUCAAAUUAAAACAUAAAACUUAUAAUACUUUCUAAGGAAAGCGCUGAAAUUCAUUUAAAAUAUAGAAUAUCAUAUUUUUAUACAGAUACACACAUUUAAAAUGUGCAGUUAUUUGUAAAUACACCACAUGCGAUGUGGAAAGGGUAUAAUCUGAAAAUAAAAAAAACAAACAAACAUCAAAAUCAAAAGUUAUCAGCAAUCUCAAUGCAGCAUCAGUGUCGGAUUGUCUUCACGCAGAGAAUACAGAUACAUGUUUCCAGUUCACAGUGAGUGUACACAGCAGCUUCAAGAAGAGCCACGUCAUUAUGUUAAAUGUUAUGAUUAAAAGAUAGACAGAAAGAUGUGGUGAUGCCUUGGUGGAAUGAAGAUGUCAGCAUGUUCAACAACAGAAAAUAUCAGGAGUCUGUCAGAAAAAUGUUCAUGUAGCUGUAUGUCAGAAAACCUCAAUGCAAAGUUA